rnacentral:rRNA from 1 species
AGCACGGGAGCAAUCCUGGUGGCGAGUGGCGAACGGGUGAGUAAUAUAUCGGAACGUGCCCAGUCGUGGGGGAUAACGCAGCGAAAGCUGUGCUAAUACCGCAUACGAUCUAUGGAUGAAAGCGGGGGAUCGCAAGACCUCGCGCGAUUGGAGCGGCCGAUAUCAGAUUAGGUAGUUGGUGGGGUAAAGGCCCACCAAGCCGACGAUCUGUAGCUGGUCUGAGAGGACGACCAGCCACACUGGAACUGAGACACGGUCCAGACUCCUACGGGAGGCAGCAGUGGGGAAUUUUGGACAAUGGGCGCAAGCCUGAUCCAGCAAUGCCGCGUGCAGGAUGAAGGCCUUCGGGUUGUAAACUGCUUUUGUACGGAACGAAACGGUCUGCUCUAAUACAGUGGGCUAAUGACGGUACCGUAAGAAUAAGCACCGGCUAACUACGUGCCAGCAGCCGCGGUAAUACGUAGGGUGCGAGCGUUAAUCGGAAUUACUGGGCGUAAAGCGUGCGCAGGCGGUUAUAUAAGACAGAUGUGAAAUCCCCGGGCUCAACCUGGGACCUGCAUUUGUGACUGUAUAGCUAGAGUACGGCAGAGGGGGAUGGAAUUCCGCGUGUAGCAGUGAAAUGCGUAGAUAUGCGGAGGAACACCGAUGGCGAAGGCAAUCCCCUGGGCCUGUACUGACGCUCAUGCACGAAAGCGUGGGGAGCAAACAGGAUUAGAUACCCUGGUAGUCCACGCCCUAAACGAUGUCAACUGGUUGUUGGGUCUUCACUGACUCAGUAACGAAGCUAACGCGUGAAGUUGACCG